GUAGGUGGCAAGCGUUGUCCGGAAUUAUUGGGCGUAAAGCGCGCGCAGGCGGGUUCUUUAAGUCUGAUGUGAAAGCCCACGGGCUCAACCGUGGAGGGUCAUUGGAAACUGGAGAACCUGAGUACAGAAGAGGAAAGCGGAAUUCCACGUGUAGCGGUGAAAUGCGUAGAGAUGUGGAGGAACACCAGUGGCGAAGGCGGCUUUCUGGUCUGUAACCGACGCUGAGGCGCGAAAGCGUGGGGAGCAAACAGGAUUAGAUACCCUGGUAGUCCACGCCGUAAACGAUGAGUGCUAAGUGUUAGGGGGUUUCCGCCCCUUAGUGCUGCAGCUAACGCAUUAAGCACUCCGCCUGGGGAGUACGGCCGCAAGGCUG
rnacentral:rRNA from 1 species